rnacentral:rRNA from 1 species
GAAGGUCAGGCUGAAGACCUUACCCGAUUAGCUGAGAGGUGGUGCAUGGCCGUCGUCAGUUCGUACUGUGAAGCAUCCUGUUAAGUCAGGCAACGGGCGAGACCCACGUCCACAGUUGCCAGCAUACCCUCCGGGGUGAUGGGUACACUGUGGAGACCGCCGCUGCUAAAGCGGAGGAAGGAGUGGGCAACGGUAGGUCAGUAUGCCCCGAAUCUCCCGGGCUACACGCGGGCUACAAUGGUUGGUACAAUGGGCAUCUACCCCGAAAGGGGAAGGAAAUCUCUUAAAGCCAAUCGUAGUUCGGAUUGAGGGCUGCAACUCGCCCUCAUGAAGCUGGAAUCCGUAGUAAUCGCGUUUCAACAGAACGCGGUGAAUACGUCCCUGCUCCUU